AGUCUAUGGCAUACCACCCUCAAUGUGCAUAGUCUUGGUCUGGUUCCUCAGAAACUAAACAGGGUUGGACUGAUUGUACUCUGGAUGGGAGACAAAUCUUUCAGAAGAGACUGUCAGAGCCAAAGAAUU
rnacentral:rRNA from 1 species